AAGACUACUAGCAGCGU
rnacentral:misc_RNA from 1 species